UGGGGAAUAUUGCGCAAUGGGCGAAAGCCUGACGCAGCGACGCCGCGUGAGGGAUGACGGCCUUCGGGUUGUAAACCUCUUUCAGCAGGGAAGAAGCGAAAGUGACGGUACCUGCAGAAGAAGCACCGGCUAACUACGUGCCAGCAGCCGCGGUAAUACGUAGGGUGCAAGCGUUGUCCGGAAUUAUUGGGCGUAAAGAGCUCGUAGGCGGUCUGUCGCGUCGGAUGUGAAAAUCCAGGGCUCAACCCUGGACCUGCAUUCGAUACGGGCAGACUAGAGUUCGGUAGGGGAGACUGGAAUUCCUGGUGUAGCGGUGAAAUGCGCAGAUAUCAGGAGGAACACCGGUGGCGAAGGCGGGUCUCUGGGCCGAAACUGACGCUGAGGAGCGAAAGCGUGGGGAGCGAACAGGAUUAGAUACCCUGGUAGUCCACGCCGUAAACGUUGGGCGCUAGGUGUGGGGAACCUUCCACGUUCUCCGUGCCGCAGCUAACGCAUUAAGCGCCCCC
rnacentral:rRNA from 1 species